CAGUCGCCGCGGUAAUAUGGAGGGGGCUAGCGUUGUUCGGAAUUACUGGGCGUAAAGGGCGCGUAGGCGGCGGCCAAAGUCAGGCGUGAAAUUCCCGGGCUCAACCUGGGGGCAGCGUUUGAUACUUGGUUGCUUGAGUGGGGAAGAGGGUCGUGGAAUUCCCAGUGUAGAGGUGAAAUUCGUAGAUAUUGGGAAGAACACCGGUGGCGAAGGCGGCGACCUGGUCCUUUACUGACGCUGAGGCGCGAAAGCGUGGGGAGCAAACAGGAUUAGAUACCCGAGUAGUCCCUGUCUCUUAUAC
rnacentral:rRNA from 1 species